rnacentral:rRNA from 1 species
GAGCGAGCGCACUCUGUCUUGCGGGUCCGGGGGCAAGGGGAAAGGGGAGGAGCUAAGGAGAAGGGGAGGGAUAGGGAGAAGGAGCAGAUGGCGGCGGUGGUGAUCGGCCUCGGGAGGCGGUAUCGGCGGCGGUGGUCGCGGGAGGGGUUUUCGGACGUUGGGUGAGGAGAGAGGAGGCGAGUGGAAUAAGGGUGGUUGCCGCUCGAGGAGGGGUUUCGGUACCACACUCGCUCCUCCGCUGUCCAGGCCUCUGAUGGAGGACCUAGUCCUCCUCUUUCUCUUCGGAUCCCCGUUUUAAUACGCAGAAUCGUCACCGAGCUCGCUACAUCCUGCCACUGCUCGCUCGCCGAAGAUGUCCGCCACCCUCGCCACCACCCGUACCGAACCCCUGGCCGCGAACGCAGUUGGCUGCCGCUCGUGCCGACGACGGUUGGUCGGUUCCAGAACCUAAGCGUUUCACUAUGUAGGGACCUAGUUAAAUUCGAGAACGUUAGAGGUUAGUCAAUUCUACUCAGUGUACCGCUGCGAGCUCUUCCACUACAGACCGUCCCUAGUUGUGUGAGAAACGGUGGGUCAUGCCGGACGGGUACCAACUACCGUUCCCGUCCACGUAACCCAACAGAGGUUCUUCGUGUUCCGGUCCCGUAGGUUAACCCAUUGGGCCACGUUGACGACAAGGGGUUACUCAAGAAACAGUAUCUUACUGGAAAACCAUCGUCAUGACUUAUUAUUUUUUUAACAACGACAAACGCGCAGAGGCAGCAGGGAGUGAGAACGCAAAGAAAGUUAGCUGACCCGUGCUGUCACCCACUCCGCCCUAUCCACCGUGACCCCGCGUCACCUCACCGAUCCGCUCUUACAGAGCCGUCCCCUGCCGCUGGUAGCGUAGGCGACUAUACAAGUGGUAGUAGUAAAUAUACAUUAGAGUUUUUGUUUCUUUACGUAGGUCUAGAACGUCCAAUGUGGUCCAAGACAUCGAUAAUAAUAUAGACAUUAAAGAUGGAAAGUACAUUAAAUAGUGGUAAAUUAAUGAUAUACACUAUCUAUAAAGAGAUGAAUAAAAAUAGAAUAUACUACACAACAAGAUGGAUGCAUACAACGUAAGUCUCAUGGCAAUCAAGAACAUACGAACGUAGAAACUAACGCAUCUGUACGUCUCACAGGAAAUUUAAAGACAAUAAUAUCAACCCUCCCAAUGAGGAGUAAGACCUCGGGGUUCAGUCUAACUAUCUAAAAUAUAUACAUUUGUAACUACUGGUAUAGUCAUGGAAACGGUGAUAGAGAGAAAACAAACACAUAAGGAUGUCGGACUAGUCGAAGUUUAUGGAUGAGACUGUCUGUUAAGUGCCGACCACUGUUACCGGUAGACCUACUCGUCCCCGUACUAGAAAUGUUACUUCGUGUUUCAAACAGUCUGUAAGAACUAUUUCUCAGCUAUAUAGAUUGAUAGAUUCGAUGGUAACUACUUCAAUGUUCUACCACUUUUAUACGUCUUACUAUAAAGUCACCUACUUCACGAUCUUCUUGGUCCUUCAAUGAUCGUAGUUUUCCUUUUCUCUCGUUCCCCUAGAGUUUGCACAUUUUAGUAUAACGGGUCAAUCUCUAAGGAUCCUCAACAAACACGAUAAAAAAAUUCUAAUGUAACCACUCAGCGAAAAAAGAAAAGAGAGAUCCUCAUACAAAGUUAUACGUCGGAAAACGACAUAGUUGUAAAAAACAUUAGAAAGAUAAAGACAUAUAAAUACUCUGGUAAAUAAAGUAAGAUGUUAAUACG